rnacentral:rRNA from 1 species
AGAGUUGAUCAUGGCUCAGGAUGAACGCUAGCGGCAGGCUUAACACAUGCAAGUCGAGGGCAGCGAGGGUAGCAAUACCUGUCGGCGACCGGCGGAAGGGUGCGUAACGCGUGAGCAACAUGCCCGUAUCAGGGGGAUAAACCAUGGAAACGUGGUCUAAUACCGCAUAACAUUGGAGAGAGGCAUCUUUUUCCAAUUAAAAUCGAGAUGGAUACGGAUUGGCUCGCGAGACAUUAGUUAGUUGGCGGGGUAACGGCCACCAAGACGACGAUGUCUAGGGGUUCUGAGAGGAAGGUCCCCCACACUGGAACUGAGACACGGUCCAGACUCCUACGGGAGGCAGCAGUGAGGAAUAUUGGACAAUGGAUGGAAAUCUGAUCCAGCCAUGCCGCGUGAAAGGAGACGGUCCUAUGGAUUGUAAACUUCUUUUGUAUGGGAGCAAUAAGGUGUACGCGUACACCGAUGAGAGUACCAUACGAAUAAGCAUCGGCUAACUCCGUGCCAGCCGCUGC